GAUGAACGCUGGCGGCGUGCCUAAUACAUGCAAGUCGAGCGAACAGACGAGAGUGCUUGCACUCUCUGACGUUAGCGGCGGACGGGUGAGUAACACGUGGGUAACCUACCUAUAAGACUGGGAUAACUUCGGGAAACCGGAGCUAAUACCGGAUAAUAUUUAGCUUCGCAUGAAGCAAUAGUGGAAGACGGUUCUGCUGUCACUUAUAGAUGGACCCGCGGUGUAUUAGCUAGUUGGUGAGGUAACGGCUCACCAAGGCAACGAUACAUAGCCGACCUGAGAGGGUGAUCGGCCACACUGGGACUGAGACACGGCCCAGACUCCUACGGGAGGCAGCAGUAGGGAAUCUUCCGCAAUGGACGAAAGUCUGACGGAGCAAUGCCGCGUGAGUGAAGAAGGUUUUCGGAUCGUAAAACUCUGUUGUAAGGGAAGAACAAGUACGUUAGUAACUGAACGUACCUUGACGGUACCUUACCAGAAAGCCACGGCUAACUACGUG
rnacentral:rRNA from 1 species